rnacentral:siRNA from 1 species
UGGGCCACAACUGGUGUCGAUAGA